rnacentral:rRNA from 1 species
GACGAACGCUGGCGGCGUGCUUAACACAUGCAAGUCGAACGAGUGGCGAACGGGUGAGUAACGCGUAGGUAACUACCUAUUAGUGGGGGAUAACUAUUGGAAACGAUAGCUAAUACCGCAUACUAGUAGAUGGACCUGCGUUGUAUUAGCUAGUAGGUAGGGUAAUGGCCUACCUAGGCAACGAUACAUAGCCGACCUGAGCGGGGGAUCGGCCACACUGGGACUGAGACACGGCCCAGACUCCUACGGGAGGCAGCAGUAGGGAAACUUCGGCAAUGGGGGGAACCCUGACCGAGCAAAGCCGCGGGAGUGAAGAAGGUUUUCGGAUCGUAAAGCUCUGGUGUUAAGGAAGCGGUACUUAACCAGAAAGGGACGGCUAACUACGUGCCAGCAGCCGCGGUAAUUC